CUCGGUGCAGAACGUUGCUCUUAACAGAAACGAUUUCGGAUUAACGAACGUACUUAGUUAGUUAGUUGGUGUAGGGGCUGAGCGUUGUGCAGCUAUUAAAAGCAAAUUCCUUUUGGUCCAGCGGAACCGCGCUUACAAGUAUCGUAAUCAAUUUUUAAUCAGGCUGUCGAUAGGAAUUUCUCGCAGAAUCGGCCCAAAUAUUUAGAAAAUAAUCAACGAAAUUGAAACUUAAAAGGCUCACUGUAAUUAUCAUGAAAUAUUAAUGUGAGAUGAAUAUUUCAGCAGCAUCGAAUGAAUAUUUCAAACUUUCCAAAACGAUUGGGAAUAAAACCAAGGAAAAUGUGAGCUUUUAUCGAGCCAUUUCGUCGCCAUCGUCUGGUUUCGUUUUCUCCGCAGGCCAACCAACCAAACUUUACAGUGCGAGUGGGAAAGUCUCGAAAGAAGUGUUUAUUUUAAAGAGUAAUGUUACCGCUUGGGGAUUUCGCCACGAUGUAACUCUUGCCCUGUUCUCCCCAGCAGCAGCAGCAGGAGAGGCCAGGACGUAAGUGGCAGAGCGCUCCGCUGUUCAGUGUCGAAAAGGAAACACUUUUUGGCGCUUUGCUGCCCUUUUUUCCGCGGGAAAGCAAGUGGACCGUAAGAAAUGUGUUUAUAAAAGUCGGAUAACCUGCCACUUCCGUUCGUUUCCCCACCCGCUGUUUGUUCGUGCGACCACCGGCAAAGCCUUCGAGUUCAACGAGAAGCAAAGAAAGGAGCCCCGCGUCAUUUGCCUGUCGACUUGAUUCCUUCGGUCCGUCCAUUUUUUCCUGGAAGAGAGAAAAUAUUGCUUACCAACCAGCCUGCCUAACGAGAUGCUGUGCCGCAGGAUGCGAUUGACCGAGCGCCACAUCCAGCCGCCCCGUGAACCCAACGAAGGGCCAAUCAUUCGUCCUUGCACCGCGCGAAAAUUAGAAGGGAGCGACAGGGACAGGGAUUCUUCACUUUUCUCGGCCGGACAUCAUGGGAGAAAACCGACUGAACCCGCAAAGACUCCACUGGUGAUUGUCAAUCUGAAUAUUCCGCCCGGGAUACCGACACUGGCACCUAGGAGUGCGAAGAGUCCCCGCAAAUUACCACCCUUUUGCACUCAGCAUCUGGCAAAGACAAACGGUCAAAGUCAAUCUUCCACGACUCCUGAGGAGGCAUCUGCGUACGCUAAUAGAACCAUUCCUCAAAUCUUCAUCCAAGGAUAUGAAAUUCACGACAAGAAAAACUCACCACCGGAACCAGCCGAGCUCCAGGAUCAGGAGUGUGAGAUUCGACCCAUCACCGAGAAUGAGGAAGACAGCUUUGCAAAUAUUCUACUGGACAACAUUUCAAAUAUAUCACUGGAUAUGAUCAAUCGACACCAGCAAAGACUUUUGGGCACGUCCAAUACCAUCAAAACCACCAGUAGAGCUUGUGGAACGUCCAGUUGUGAAAUGUUCUUGAAUCUGGACUCUUACGAAAUGGACGACUACGGCCAGUUACCAGAACGUAUAGACUCUCGGGAAGAUUCGCCUCCCAUCCCUCCGGGAUACAGAUCGUUAUGUUAUCGAACACCUAGUCCCAACACCCGGCAAAUUAUUCGAGUAAACGUUACCAUGAACAGAGAUAGGAAAAUCAAUUAUUAAAGUACUUCAUUUCACGUUGCAUCCAGUAUUAUCGAUAUAGUAAAACGCCUGCAGUAGCAUUGUUCAAAUGUUUAAAACAAUCAAUAAUUACAUUUGUCAAUAAAAUGUGCUGUUUACCUAUUAAAAAAUGCUUUAAUGUUCAUUUGGUCCCGGAAAUGAAAACUUUAUUUACAAGGUUCGUUAAACUUUCACUGGUAUAUGAAAAAUUUCUUCCGAUAGUUUAUAAAUCGUAGUAUAAUUUACAUAUUUGAGGAGCAUAAUUUCAUGAUCGGCUAAGCACAUUUAAUAACAGUCCAAUGCAUGAUAUAUAGGCAAAUGAUACCAAUCAGUUCAGAAAACUGGGCGUUUUUAUGGCCCUUAAUUAUAUAUACAUAUAUAUAGAAAAUGCAGCCAAAAUAUCUCUAUAGAAAACCAAAACUGAAGAAGUGAAAAAUGAUCGAGCAGGGCACACGAGAGCAUUUUUUUCUAGUUGAUGUGCCUCAAACUGGGAUGUGACUAAUAAUACGAUUACUAUUCAACUUUGACUUAUUAAAUUUAAUUUAAGAGUGCGCUCAAAUUUAUACUUAGCAGUACCGCAACAAUUUUUAGUAGUAAAAUCGAAAUAACAGUGCAAGUGUUGAAUCCCCGAAACUGCUCUGAAGAGAAUCCCUGCUGUUAGCAGGACAACUGGCGCCAACGAUCUCAACCGGGACGGCUUUAAUUCUCCCGCCAGACAGUUUUCACCUCGCCUGCGAUCAUCCAUUGGGAGGGGAUAGACAAAACGAAAGAAACUUAAGCAACCCAACAGCGUGUCUGGUGUUUCUUAUAGCAUUAUCAUCAUACAAGGAAUUAGCCCGAAAGUCAUCUAGGAUUUACUUUUUAUAACAAUUGUCUUGUUUUUCUUUCAUAUCAAUAGUCUAAUUGGAAAAGGCUAGUAUGAAAUAAAGUCUUAUCAAACAUAUUGGAAAUUACAAGAAAAAUGUGUAAAGUUACUACUUGAUCAAAAAGUAUAAUAUUUAUUUGUGUGACUCCUAACUAUAAAAAUUUGGAAGAUUUUAUAAUGGAAUUACAUCUGAGAAAAUCCACCACUAUAAAGAUUCUCAUCAAAUAACUACAAGGCAUUGAGAACACGACUAGUGCAUUUAGUCGCACUCGGUUCGUGACAACAGCACCGGUCAGGUUGGUCCGAAACUGCAUCUUAUUAAUUCUGGCACUAUGAAGCAAAAACAAAUGUGUCUUGCUUGAAGUCGACGCGUCGUCGGUUUAAAUCAAAAUAACAGCCGCCUGCAUUUUUUGCAACUGCGUCAUUAAUCAUGAGACACACACACGAAAGAUGUCGAUUAGUUCAAGUUUUAAAUCAUUUUCAGCCGCCGUGUUUCUGGCCAGAUUGAGUGGCAGCAAUCCAGUUUCCAGCGUUCAGUGUACUCUAAUUCGUUUCUACUCGGAGAUAUAAAAAAAAGAGCAGACAGUUAAUGAGCAACUGUGGAUGACGCGAUUGUCAAUGCAAGAGACACGUCGGGAUCGUAAUAGCAGGAAUGAGUUGGUCAAUAAUUGUGUGUCCGGUUGUGGGAAAGGUGUCUCUGUUAUAUUUAGUGAUUUGUUGUUCACAUGCGGGGAAUUUAAAUGCUGUCGUGAUAGAGUUUCAAACAUGAUGUUAAAUUCUAACGUAAAUCACUCAAAAUCUGAAAAUGUUAUCCAAAUCAUUCUCCGAUGAAACCUGUGUUGUAUUGUGUAAUUCUAAUCCCUGAUAAAUAGGAAAAUAUACCCUCUGAGUUUCCCGUUAUUGAGUAACCGUAAGCUGGAGUUAA
rnacentral:misc_RNA from 1 species